GAUGAACGCUGGCGGCGUGCCUAAUACAUGCAAGUCGAGCGAACGGACGAGAAGCUUGCUUUUCUGAUGUUAGCGGCGGACGGGUGAGUAACACGUGGAUAACCUACCUAUAAGACUGGGAUAACUUCGGGAAACCGGAGCUAAUACCGGAUAAUAUUUUGAACCGCAUGGUUCAAAAGUGAAAGACGGUCUUGCUGUCACUUAUAGAUGGAUCCGCGCUGCAUUAGCUAGUUGGUAAGGUAACGGCUUACCAAGGCAACGAUGCAUAGCCGACCUGAGGGGGGGAUCGGCCAAACUGGAACUGAGAACCGGUCCAGACCCUACGGGAGGCAGCAGUAGGGAAUCUUCCGCAAUGGGCGAAAGCCUGACGGAGCAACGCCGCGUGAGUGAUGAAGGUCUUCGGAUCGUAAAACUCUGUUAUUAGGGAAGAACAUAUGUGUAAGUAACUGUGCACAUCUUGACGGUACCUAAUCAGAAAGCCACGGCUAACUACGUG
rnacentral:rRNA from 1 species